CCAACAUGGGCAUUCAUUGUGGUGGUUCUUGCAUGGCUCUGUCCAAGUGGUGUAUGGGAGCCUAGCUCCAUAAGGGGCAAUGACGUAUAGUCCCAUUCUAUAAUGUUGGACAGAAAGUCCCCCCUCCCCGACUGAAAAACCUGGUAGGGGAAGAGUCCUGUAUAUUCCUACAACUUCUCAGUAUUUAUAGUUGCUGAGAAGAGAAACCAUGCAGGAUACGUGA